rnacentral:sRNA from 1 species
UAGAUAUGCUGUGAUUUAUUUAACUGUUCACUGUCAGUGUGCAUUUAAUAUGUCUCAAUUUUUUGUUUGCACUUAUAGAUAUAAAUUACAUAAUCGUGUGUGUGUGUGUGUGUGUGUGUUUAUAAGAGUAUUAGCUGGGUAAAAGGACACAACCGUCUAA